GUCUACGGGGCUCCCGUGGGUCGUGGUCGUCGCAAGAGGGAACCCGGUGAGAACCCGGGACUGCCCCGCAGCGGUGAACGGGAACGACCGUCGCAUCCAGCACUGCGCCCUGAGGGGCGUGGGAAGCCGCGACCGCAGGUAGGACCGGGAGGCAGAGCCGACCGGGCGCCGUGAGUCCGAAGACCUGCCAGUGCACCGGGCGCCCG
rnacentral:ncRNA from 2 species